AAAUGAUGGCUGUGAGGUCGAUGUUCUUCCUCUCGUAGCCCUGCAGCUGGUCCUGGCACUCUGCCAGCUUGGCCUCCGUGAUCUUGAGGAUGUCGGGCAGCUGCUGCAGGCCCCUGAGGGUGCCCAGUCAGCAUGGAAUGAGACCACCAGGACCCAGGCAUUGUGCUAAGGGCUCUCCAAAUACUCGCUGAAUUCAUACAACCUGUACAGUAGGCGCUGUCUUCCCUAUAUAAGGACACUAAGAAUCAAAGGCUCAUUGCCCACAGUCACUCAGCCAGAGCCAAGCGUUCGAGCUGCGCUGCGACUUCGUCGGCCUCCAGUCUGGUCUUCAUCACCUGGGGACCAACACAGCAUGAGGCGUCUGGGGCAGAGCCGAGUUCUGGUGAAAAAUACCUGCCCCUCCCCAACCCUCCCAGGAAAGGCCCCGUGGCUCAUCCCGGCCUGCUGAGAGGUGCCGCUGGUGGGGCAGGGGCACCCGA